UACAGCGCCUAAGGAAGAAGAAGGCGGCCAUCUUCGUGAGGUCGCAGGCUUUUGUGAUGCCAAGACACUGCUCUGCUGUAGGUUGCAAGUCACGCGACACAAAAGACAUUAGGAAAUCUGGGAUCACUUUUCACAGGUUGCCAAAGAAGGGAAACCCUCGACGCACAGCCUGGAUUAUCAACUCUCGUCGCAGAGGCCCUGAGGGAAAAGGGCAGUGGGACCCCCAAAGUGGAUUCAUCUAUUUCUGCUCUAAACACUUCACCCCCGACAGCUUUGAACUCUCCGGUGUCAGUGGCUAUCGCAGACUGAAGGAUGAUGCGAUUCCCACUGUAUUUGACAUUCAGCCUCACGGAGGAGGAACUGCUGGGAAAUGUGCAACAAAACGCAGAGGCAGUCCUCGAAAUGUGGACGAACAUAUCAGAGUCAAGAACUCCUCCUGUAGUGAGGACUCAGAAACCCAGGAGAUCUUCAACAAUGAGACUGUGUUGCCAAAAGUAGCAGAAAAUGAGUGUGAAAAGGGCGAAGGGGAGGACGAGCAUGCUCAGCCUUCAUCAGAGGCUCCUCAAACCUCUGAAGAGACCACACUAGAUGACCAGCCUCCUGUCCCCUCUUCUCCUCCUCGUCCACCUUCUCCAUCCUGCUACAUGAGACGUCUCCCGCCUCCUCCUGGAUUUUACUUGCCCAAAGAGCACAACUACGCUCAGCUGUGCCCUCUAGUGUGGCGCAAGCGCUACGACAAAGCCAUCGACAGCUUGGAAAAAGCACUGCGUCUUCUGAGUGCCGCCCGACGGCGGGAGAACCGCCUACGCCACGCGUUACUGCGCCUCAGAGAGAACCGACUCAGAAGUACCCUGUUACGCACACGAGACGGAGCCAAAGGGAAGGAGGCCCGAGGAGGCAGGUGUUCAAGCUGGAAGGGACGGGGGCCGAAGGGGGAGAGAGGCUGCAAUCUUGAGGGACUGGAGGAGAACGCAGCUGAUGAAAUAGACCUUCUGUCCGAGGGCUGGACCGGACAAGCACAGACAAAAGGAAGAGUCGCUGGGGAAGAAGAAGAAGGCUGCUGCUUUUAUUGCGGAAGAGACAAUGAAGGAAACAAAGUAAUCGUAGCAACUGUAGGACCUGAUGUUCAAGGACCCCUCAAGCCUCAGAGAAUCCAGGGACUCAAAAGGAAAGCCAAAGUGCUCAAAGAACAGAAGUCAGAGACCUCACGGACUGAUGUGGCGCCUGUGGAGCAGCAAAGCUACUAUUUAUAUUACUGCGAGAGCGCAGAGAACGAGGACACGAUGCAGGUGGUCACCAUGGAAUUGCUGAGCACCGAGGAGGAAACACCUCUCGAGCUUCACAGCAAUGCAGAAGAAAUCCAGCAGCUCGCUGUGCUGCAUCCACAGACUGAGAUGCACACUGCGCCCGGGUCCGGAUCUGUUCAAUACUCCACAACACUGCAGGAGACGUCUGUGCCAUUCCAGCUGCAGCAACUCCAAGUGCUUGAGCCGCACCAGGGACUUCUGCUCUCUGAGCUCGUCACAAAGGAAAAGAGCGGCAUGGAGCAGGAGCAGCAGUUCUUCUGGGUUCAGGAAGGGACUGAUGAUCACGUCCUGCUGAUGCCGGUUCCUGCCGAAGCGAGGGAAAGCAACGGGGUCGACGUUGAGACCGUGAUCGAGACUGUGCAGCCUCGGGUGAUACUGGAGAGAUAUCAGUCAAAGGACACUGAAGAAAGGGAUGGACCGGCUGUGAAGUGUGAUUCCUCUGUAUUAACGGCUACAGCGUGGGAACACGGUCCGCUCACACACCAGUCGGACCUGAGGCCCACAGCAGACGUCAGAGAGAGACUGAAGGAACAUCUAGAGGGGUUUCAGCUUCAGCUCAGCAGCGAGUUCAGUGACUGAACCGAUCAUAUUUUUAUAUUUUCUGUUCUUCAAUUACAGAUUCUAUCAUUUGAGAUAUUUUAAAGGCAUCGGGAUCAUAUGAAGGACUGCCUGCAUCCCCUGUUGAUUUAGGAUGGACUCCAAAGAUUUUUAUCUAGAAGAAAAACAAUGACACGUUAUACCCCAGGUUUUGAAUGGUUGUGUAAACAUCCCAAGAUUUUCAUUGCCACUGUCAGGAUUCUGAGUUUAUGUUUCCAGAUUACCUCAUGUUCAUUUAAAACCUACAACCACUCAGGGAUCUUCUAUUUCUGCCAAUUCUUUCUUGUGUGAGGUGAAGUCCUUUAAACACUUUACCAUAUCAUGUUUCAGAUGUAAAGGUGAAUCUCUGAUUUUUUAUUCAUUCAAAUGUUCUGUUUCUGCUAUUUGUAAAAUAAGCUUGAUUCCCCGUUAUUUGUUACUGUGACCACCAGAGGGAGCAGAUUUCAUUCCUUACUCCUCAAAUAUGAACGGAUGCACUCGUAUUUUAUUUAUU